GAUUAGGGUCCAAAUACUCUAAAGGCACCAAAUGCGAUCUAAUCUUGGAAGACAAACAGAGUCAGUCCUGGUGAGGUCUUGGCUGAGAGAACGCCAAUAAAUUCCGGAUGUUGUAGGCU
rnacentral:rRNA from 11 species